rnacentral:rRNA from 1 species
UACAGAGGGGGCAAGCGUUGUUCGGAAUUACUGGGCGUAAAGGGCGCGUAGGCGGCCUGUUAAGUCGGACGUGAAAUCCCUCGGCUCAACCGGGGAACUGCGUCCGAUACUGGCGGGCUUGAAUUCGGGAGAGGGAUGUGGAAUUCCAGGUGUAGCGGUGAAAUGCGUAGAUAUCUGGAAGAACACCGGUGGCGCAAGCGGCUUGCUGGG